rnacentral:rRNA from 1 species
AUUGAACGCUGGCGGCAGGCUUAACACAUGCAAGUCGAGCGGAGAUGAGGUGCUUGCACCUUAUCUUAGCGGCGGACGGGUGAGUAAUGCUUAGGAAUCUGCCAUUUAGUGGGGGACAACAUUCCGAAAGGAAUGCUAAUACCGCAUACGUCCUACGGGAGAAAGUAGGGGAUCUUCGGACCUUGCGCUAAAUGAUGAGCCUAAGUCGGAUUAGCUAGUUGGUGGGGUAAAGGCCUACCAAGGCGACGAUCUGUAGCGGGUCUGAGAGGAUGAUCCGCCACACUGGGAAUGAGAAACGGCCCAGACUCCUACGGGAGGCAGCAGUGGGGAAUAUUGGACAAUGGGGGGAACCCUGAUCCAGCCAUGCCGCGUGUGGGAAGAAGGCCUUAUGGUUGUAAAGCACUUUAAGCGAGGAGGAGGCUACUGAGACUAAUACUCUUGGAUAGUGGACGUUACUCGCAGAAUAAGCACCGGCUAACUCUGUG